UACUGUGAAAAUUAUAUUUUCAAUUUGAAAGUAUUUUUCGUCUGUUUAUAAUGUAAAAUAAAAAGUGUUUUCUUUCAGUGUGAGUAUUUCAAAAGUGUCAAGCCGCCAAGCAAAACACCCGUAGCCAUCUGCCAAACAACAAAACAGACAUCCAAAACAAAACAAACAACAAAACAGACAAAACAGAAAUAUCCUCAAUUAGAUUAAAUAUAUCAGGAAAGUGGAUAAUAAAUAGAAGGUUGCCGCUGUGAAGCGGUAUAUUUAGCUGCAUCGGUCUGCGCUGCGGGUUUCCCCCUGAGAUAAACAACUUCGCAUUCUCUUAAACUGAAAUCGUUGCUCUAGGCUCGGCUCUAGGCUACAGGAAACGGAAGAUCUUUCCAGUCAAUGACGAGAUGUCCCAUUGGAAUCACCCAUACAAUGUUAGAGCGAUGGAAAUGGAUUUUUCAAAUGGACCCAGAGUGUGUCGCGGGGGAACAUCGCUGGCCAAAUUUCGGAUCUAUAAAAUACCAUCGAUACGGAAUCGAUGGCAGUAUUGUUGCUGACAAAUAAUCAUGGUUCGAGAGUCGUCAGUGUUGGAUCGGAAGAUCACAGUUAUAGGGCUGUCGAGGGCAAAAGCACCUGUAAAAUCAACGUGUACCUAGUCAAAUAAUAUCCAUUAUUGUAUAAUAAAAUAUGUCUAUAAAA